rnacentral:lncRNA from 1 species
AAUUUAUAAAAUAUAGAUUCACUUUCAAUGUUCAUGUAGUUGUCUUACUUAUGAAAUAGUGAUUGUGACUUUAUAUAUGUUUUUUGAUUAAAUUUUAAUUAUAAGUGAAAACAACAGUAUAGACUGGAUGCUUUACAGUUUGGUUGUAUGUACAGUACUUUGUAAGAAAAAAAUAUAGAUUGUUCUAAUGAGAAGAUCAAAGUGGUUUCAUGCAAAUUGCAAUUAAAACAACAAAAGAAAUUGUUUAAUUGCAAUAUGAAUCUACAUAUAUAUCAAAUUUUGUUGCAAUCAAUUAUUGCAGCAAGAAGUCGAUAAUUGGUUGCCUCGUGUGAAAAAGUGCCAGUGCCACACGUGUAAUUUAUAUAUACAAACUUUUAUUGUUCUUGCACCAAAUCAAAAACUAUUUUUAUGUAUUUAUGAAGAAAAAUUAUUAAUUGAAAAGAAAAAUUUUGGAUUAAUAUAUCUACUAAACUAUAUAUUUUAUGAAUUUGAAAUAUAGUAUAAGAAUUGUGGAGAGACUUUUAACCCUUUGGACUCCUAUACUAUAGAAAAAUACUCAAAAUAAGCAAUACAUUGCAUGGGUGUGUGUUGUGCUUUUAAUCAUUACUUAAAAUAAGGUAAUUGUAAUGCAUGAUGAACAAAUAACUGAUAAUAUCAUAAAUUUAUUUUGAAAUUCACAUAAUUUGUUGAUAAAUAAUAUAAUAAAUAUUUUUUUUCUAUUGUUUCGAGAAUAUUUCAGGAUCGGUAAUGUUAUCUACCCAGUAAAAUGUACUUUUUUGGACUGUUUAUUUACCUAGAAAAACUUAUGUAAUAACUUAUUGCUUAUUUUGUAUGUUUUUAUUCUUGUUUCUCUUUAAUGUAUAAAGUUAAUUGAAAAUUUUGUGAAAUUGCCAACUGAUGUACAGUAUCAUCAAAUAAUCUAUAUUAAAUAAGAAACAUUGUAGUUCUUGGAUGUAGCUUCAUUUUCAAUUACAUCUCAGCUGUUUUACAUGUAUUUAUAUGGCUCAAAAUCAAAGCAUAUAUAUUUGCUGCUGUGUAUUUUCCAAGGUGAUUGGCGGUGAAUUGCAGGAUCGGUUGAUACCGGUGCCCUACAGCAAGAGUGCCACUGAUCAAGCUAUUCGAGUAGUUAAUGCUUUCCGUAGUGGUGUAGACCCGCGCAAUAAUCCUACACAGACGGCCUUCCUCAAAAGGACUUCGACCGCUGGCCUCGUCUCUACUGCCGCAACUUCUUCUGCAGCUAAAGGUUUUUCCUUUGAAGGUUUGGAGAGGAAGAAGAAAUAGUUAUAUAAUACAAAGAAACUGUGCAUCCAUUACCACAGAAGGAAUGUUUCAUUAUAUCUGUUCAUACCUACAUAAUUUCUUUUUGUGCUUGAGUGUUUUCUUGUGUUGAUUUACAAAAACCAAAAUUAAAAGCCUGUUGAUAUUAUAGAACCUAUUUCUAGUUGUCAAAGUCAAAUUGUUAAUUUUUUGACAAAUUAAAAAGUGACUAUGAACUUCAAUACUGUGUAUUUAAAUUACGGUAAAUCAUGAAAAUGCUUACAAACAUUUUAUAUGUCAUACUUAUUACUGCCAGCUAAUCCUAAACUUUAUUGGGCAGCUUGGAGUAUCAAGUAAGACAAUAUUGUUGGAUACUUCUAACGGACAUUGUAGAUUAAAAGAAAUCGUUGAGAAUUAAGUGGUCCGUGCCUUGUAAGAACUCUGCUAGAAGUGUUGCUUCUGUGACUGACUCCGUUACCGAUCGUAACUACUGGAAAGAUUUGCGGAAAUGAAAAAAAAAUGUCGCAUGCAACUUGAGACAUUUCAAAUAUCAUCAUCUAUAGAUUCUAUAUAGUUCAGUGUGGAAAUUAUAACUCUUUAUGUAUUUGCUAGAGAACGAUAGUUGUACGAACUAAAGCUGCAAAAGUUGGAUCGAGAAUUUAUCCUGCUUAUUUAUUAAACACAAGUUAAGAAAAGUGUUAAACUGCCAAUUGUUCACUUUUCUUGAUAACUUUAUCCUUUUACUACAAGUCAUAGUGAAUACCAAGUUUCUAAGUAUGCUUGUCUAUUUCAUAAAAAAUUUUUCCCACAGUAUUGAUUUCAGAAGUUUUUAGAUAGGAUUUUUGAGUAUAUUAUUAAAAACAAAAAUUGUUGACAUAUACCAUUUUAAUAAUUCAUCAUUAUUAGCAGUACUUAACAAUUGUCAUGAAUUUAAGUUUACAUCUAUUACUUUUUUAAUGUUUUAAAAUUUUAAACAAUUUACAUAGUCAUGUUCUGCAGCCAGAGGGAGAGCAAUAAUUAUCUCUUAGAGUUAAUCUGCAGUUAAAGGAGCAGUAGCAAAUUUUUAAUUAUUCUAUGUACAAUAUUCACGGCUCCCCUCGUCUGAAAAGCUAUUUCUGUAAGUUCCCUAUUUUCAUUACUUAUAUAAUAUAGUUCUCAUUGUUAUUGACUGGAUGAAAAAAAAUGAAACAAAACCAGAAUUAUAGCAGUAAUACAUUGUAUGAUAUUGGCCAAAAGACAAUUUGUUUUGUCCUUUCCUUCAGUGCACUUUAUGAUUAGUGUUAAUAGUUUAAUAAAGAUAGAUGUUAUGACACAUAGAAUUCCUAGAAUAUAACUAAUCAUCACACAUUUCAGUCAAGACCUCCUAGCCAGCUAAAAUAUUUCUGUUGACUAUUUUACUCUUAUUCAAACAUGGUGCAUUGUUUGUUCAAAUAAAGACUGUACAUUUUCAAAACACUUCAUCUGCUAUUAAACAAAUAAAUCAGAUAUUUCCCACUUAAAAGUUGUCUGUGAUUGAUUUCAAUUAUAUUCAAAACAGAUUAGAUGUUAGUAGUGUGAAAGAUUAAAUGUUUUACAUUAAAUAAGUUAAGUUGAAAAUAAAUAAUUUUAUGGUAAUACAGUGGAGCACCUUUUUACAUAUUUCACAUUUAAACAUCAUUUUACAUUGGUCCCAAAAUAUUCCUUUUCUUUCAUUAAUGAAAUACAGUAGAGCCUCGAUUAACCGACCGUCCUAGUCGGCAAAUUUCAAAUGUCCGCUAGUGAUGUGGCGCUACAAUAUUUGGCUAUGUCUUGGCUACUUUAAUAG